GCUAAUACCGGAUAGUUCCUUGAACCGCAUGGUUCAAGGAUGAAAGACGGUUUCGGCUGUCACUUACAGAUGGACCCGCGGCGCAUUAGCUAGUUGGUGAGGUAACGGCUCACCAAGGCGACGAUGCGUAGCCGACCUGAGAGGGUGAUCGGCCACACUGGGACUGAGACACGGCCCAGACUCCUACGGGAGGCAGCAGUAGGGAAUCUUCCGCAAUGGACGAAAGUCUGACGGAGCAACGCCGCGUGAGUGAUGAAGGUUUUCGGAUCGUAAAGCUCUGUUGUUAGGGAAGAACAAGUGCAAGAGUAACUGCUUGCACCUUGACGGUACCUAACCAGAAAGCCACGGCUAACUACGUGCCAGCAGCCGCGGUAAUACGUAGGUGGCAAGCGUUGUCCGGAAUUAUUGGGCGUAAAGGGCUCGCAGGCGGUUUCUUAAGUCUGAUGUGAAAGCCCCCGGCUCAACCGGGGAGGGUCAUUGGAAACUGGGAAACUUGAGUGCAGAAGAGGAGAGUGGAAUUCCACGUGUAGCGGUGAAAUGCGUAGAGAUGUGGAGGAACACCA
rnacentral:rRNA from 1 species